rnacentral:tRNA from 1 species
GCGGGAGUGGACAUGUUUGUAGUCGACCCCGGACUAUGCUGUCGAGCCGCCAGGUGUGCGAGUUCAAGUCUCGCCUCCCGCACCA